CGGGGUCCGAACUGGGCGGCUCGAGUGCGGUAGAGGAGCGCGGAAUUCCCGGUGUAGCGGUGGAAUGCGCAGAUAUCGGGAAGAACACCGAUGGCGAAGGCAGCUCUCUGGGCCGGCACUGACGCUGAGGCGCGAAAGCUGGGGGAGCGAACA
rnacentral:rRNA from 1 species